rnacentral:lncRNA from 1 species
GACCUGAUUUUCCUCCCCAUGGUGCAGUGUAUAGCAUACAAUAGGUAUUCAGUAAACAUCUAUUGAAGGAUGAAGGACAUAGUGACUUCUGGGUGGAGAAUCCCUAGAAGUAGCUUUUGAAAUGGGUCCUGAAGAAUUUGUAGAGUUACAUUAGUGCUGUUAGAAGGCGGGGGUGUGAGUGGCUUGAGCUGUUUCUGGCAGGAAAGCAGGUACAGCUUGAGAACAUCUAGUUCUGUUAAGACUAGUGGAGCAGAAUGGGAGUAAGAGUGAAAAAAAAAAGUUUGGAAACAAUUCUUGAAGAGCUUGAAGGAGUUGCUUAUAUGACUCAUAGAGUGGCUUCCUUUAAAACAAAAUUUUAAAAAAUGCUUUAAUCAGGAAGAAAAAGCAUCAGGAAGAAAUUUAGCGUGUGGGUCUUUUGCCCUCCUUUCCACUCCUGUCCUCUUUCCUAUAAUGUGGGCCCCAAGAUAGGAGUUUCUGAAUAGUCUUCAAGAUGUAACUCUGUGUCUAUUAUUUUCUAUUGGAAAGGAGACAAAAUUAGGGUUGUUUUAUAAAUGGUGCCACAGUUUUUAGUCUGACAGCUUAAAAAGCUUUACUGUGCUAGGUACAGACUUCAGAGUGUGAUCAAGCCAGUGGUGAGUUAUUUUAGUCUUCAGAAGUCAGUGGAAAACUGGACAGUUUAGAACACAAAUAUAUGUUGGGUUUUUUUUUCCCUCUGUGAAACUCAGGGAAAUAAAUUUGCUUUUUUCUUAUUUUUUUUGGUCCUGGAAUUUUCUUUUCUCAGAAUGUUAUAAUAGAAAGAAAAAUGGACUUUAAAAUCAGAAUUGAAUUCAAGUUCUGUGUCAUUUGUCUGUAAUUUUGGGCAAAUUAUUUCUCAUCUCUGAACCUUAAGUUCUUCAUCUUUACACAUAAUUUUUUCAAGUACCUUUUGCUGCUUCCCUUCAAGCUUCUUUUAUUUCAGUAUUCCCAGUGUUCUUUCUCGUUUUCACUGUAUUCUCCUCCAAAAUAUUAUCCUAACUUUUAAAGUAUUUCUUGUGUUGUUUCUUAUCUAUUCUCCAAACGAAUGUUUUGGUUUUUUAAAAAAAUGUAAUAUGGUACAGACACACUGGGAAGCAAUUUCAUAGAAUAGUCUUUAUGAAAAUAAUUUGAUAUAGAAAUUAGGUAAUUUAGGUGAGAAAUGUUUUUUACUGGGUAUAGGCAUAAAUCUUGGGAAAAACUCUAGGGCAGGGGGUGAAUCCUGAAAUGACAGUCUGUUUCUAAUUAAGACGUUUUUGUGAACUAACUAUUCUAUAAUUAAGACUUCUAAGACAGUUAUAACUACUUUGUACAGAUAUUUGUCAAAUAUUUUCAGAAGAUGGCUGAUCCUUGGCAGGAAUGCAUGGAUUAUGCAGUAACUCUAGCAAGACAAGCUGGAGAGGUAGUUUGUGAAGCUAUAAAAAAUGAAAUGAAUGUUAUGCUGAAAAGUUCUCCAGUUGAUUUGGUAACUGCUACGGAC